UACGGGGGGGGCAAGCGUUGUUCGGAAUUACUGGGCGUAAAGGGCUCGUAGGCGGCCAACUAAGUCAGACGUGAAAUCCCUCGGCUCAACCGGGGAACUGCGUCCGAUACUGGUUGGCUUGAAUCCGGGAGAGGGAUGUGGAAUUCCAGGUGUAGCGGUGAAAUGCGUAGAUAUCUGGAGGAACACCGGUGGCGAAGGCGACAUCCUGGACCGGUAUUGACGCUGAGGCGCGAAAGCCAGGGG
rnacentral:rRNA from 1 species